rnacentral:tRNA from 1 species
CUUUAAGGAGCUGUAACUUAGCACUAGUCUUUUAAACUAGAGAAAAUAAAUGUAUUAUUCUUAAGGA